AGCCAUUAUUUUGAGGGAAACUAUUCCCCCUUCCUUUAGAAAUCACAUACCACAAGAAGUUGUUUCAUGCGAAAUUCACUGAGCCCACUGGUAAGAAAACAGGCAGAAUGCAUUUGUCUCUUUCCACAACAUUCAGCCACAGUUAGCCACGUCCAGUAGCGUCCAAGACUGUCGGAAUAACAAAACAACCCCAUUUGGAGACGGUAUAGAAAGUCAUUACCGGGCACUGAGGAGAUUAGAGGAAGAGACCCUAGUUUUUGUCACUUAGAUUCAUUUUUCAGGGCCAGGGCUCCCUCUUGGGCAGGAGGUAACCAGUGAGUUUGUGAGGCAGCACAGCCAUGAGAGCCGUGAGCUGAGGUUAGCACAAUAUGCAAAUUGCAUCUGAGCCACAUAUCUGUCAACCUUCCAUGUUUGGGGGUUAAAGGGAAUGAGAGCUGGUGAAGUCUUGUUUACUCAGUGGUUUGUUUUUUAUGCAAAUGCUGUCCCGUAGGGAAAGAGGAGUCUGUGUGGAAUUCAUAAGCAGCCUUAGAAGCUGAUGAGAAAAGCAAUAAGCCUCUGUGAAAAGUCCUGCAUCCUAACAUAUCCCCAGGGACCUCAUCUUAUGAGCAUUGCUGUGCAAUGUGAAUUAAAUCCGCAGCAUAGAGCAGCCGCCUGGUGCUUUGGAGUUGAUUACCAUCAUCCCUGGAGCCUGAGGUUUUCUGCAUCAGAGACCUGGCAUCAAGGGAUCAAAAUGUGGGAAACGCAGGGUUUACUGAACUCAGUGCCAAGGGAGAUUGGCAUGUCUUUUGUGUGAAGAGUGAAUGUUAGAGCACCAAAUUAUCCCCUGGUUAUGGAAGUCAUGGUCUACACCAAGAUUACAUAAAUUUGGGCAGGCCAGAGAGGACACAGGGUGGGAAAACCCAAAGAAGGGCCGUUGUCCCAGAAGUGAUUUUAAAACCAUGGUAACUAAAUAUUGAAGCACUAAAUCAAGGGCAGUUGGCAUCCAUAAUGAAGUGUUCAUGGAGCCAGAGUCAAAAUAUUCAGGGAAGCCAAUGCAGUCCAUUGUGGAAACUGCUAUAUUGUGCAUUCAGAGUAAGAAAAUGAAAGGAGCAAAAUGAAUCCAUCAGGACCACAGGCCCUCCAGUCCAAAUCUGAAAUGGACAGGAAGAGAAUUUCAGUUUCUCUGUUCCUUUAAUCAAGCCAAUUCACCUCCCCUUGAAUCAUCAUUUUAUAAUUCAUGUAGACAUGGGAUCAAAAGAGUCUCAUGAAAAGAACAAAGUCCUGUCACAUAAAAACAAGCUUUUGCUGUUCUCUUUCUCCAAGUAUAAUCCAGAAAUGGUUCUUAAUAUUAGUCAGGAAAUGAAAUCAUUGUGGAAUGGGAAAGCAUAGAGAAAUAUCAAACCCAGCUUGAUAUCUGGUACACUUAAUUGUAAUUUUUAAAAUGUCUUUGUUCAUCUUUAGGAUAAAGAUCUAAAUGUCAACAAGCAAGUGUUAUUGUCAGGACCAAAAAAUUAAGCAACAUUUCAGCCAAUGUCAAAUAUCCUCUAUACCCACAGCCCUGUGUAAUUAGAGACCAUUAUCAUAAAGUUUUCUUUCCUCAAAUAAUCCCUCCCCUUAAAAUUAUGUCACUCACACCUCUCCUUUCAUGUCUUUGUCUUGUUUUGAUUUGAUUUUAAGCUCUUCAUCCAACAUUUCCAAUAGGGUGACUAGCCAGUAUGUAUGUGUUACUUUAUUUCACUUUAUCUUAUUUUACAUUUUUAGUUUAUUCGUGUGUGUCAGCAGUGGGGGAUGGGUGUGGAUGUGUGGGUGGAUUGGUGUCAGGGCAUAGAUGUGUCCUAAGUCACACAAAAGAAAAAUGGAGGGGGGGAUAGAAGCAGGAUUUGAGUCUUAAUUUGAUGUUUUUCUAACCAGUUUGCAAUGAAUUUUAGAUCCUCCCCUUCACUCCACCUGAAACCCCUCACUGAUGGUAUCUGAAGUAGUCAGAUUUGUGCUGUCCAAUGUUUAAAUAGAUGCCAAAUGGCAAAAAAGCCACACAGGCAAAUUCGCACAAUGCAGAAAAGAAACCACUUCAUGAAGACCCACCAUGAACUGGAGUUUGGGCUGUGAAAGGAAACCCAUCCCAGAACAGAUUUUUCUCAGGAACAUAUUCAUCUAACAGUCUAAGAGUGGUCAAAGACAAAACCAGAGAAAGAGGCUCAAAGUGUCCCCAGGUUAGCAGGUCACACAAAGCUCCUUACUGGCCUUUCUGCUUGAGUUGCAACAUGAUCAGUGGGGUUAUCUGCAAAUUCAAAGAACACCCUCUCUGUCCUCAGGGGUUCAGGCCUGGCCACGGGCAGGUCUAAGAAUAUUGACAAUGCCCUUCAAUCCACUUCCUUCAGUGCAGAAAUGCAAACAGAAAGGCUAAUAGGCCCCAGCACAGAGCAGGAAAGAUCCUUGCAGACACUAGCCAGAAAGCCGACAUUUGUUUCUAAAGUUCUCUUCAUCUCAGGGUCAAAACUCCUAGGGUGGAAAUGAAAAAAACCUUCUGUCAAACAGUUGCCUUUGUCUACAUAAAUGGAUCCCAACCUUUUCAACAUGAGAAUUCUUUUUUAAAAUAAAAAGGUUGUGGAUUUCUCCAUGACACUGGUUACAUUCAACUGUUGGUUAAUUGACAGCAUUGAUAGUGACCAAGUAACUACAUAAAUCCAGUAAUAUUUUUAAAUAAAAGCUUAUGAAGUUAAUCACAAGAACCUCUAAAUACAGUGGAUAAAGUGGGCCAUGUUAGUGUGAGGUAGCAUAUUUAUUCAGAGUGCAGAGGAUAAAAGCUCAAGUCUGUUUUAUUUUUGAGAAGAAUUUUUACAAAGCACAUGUAGUGGAGGGAAAAAUUGAAAUUUCCAUCUUUAUCUUUGUUUUCCUGCAUCAGUAAUCCCUUAGAUCUAUUUGCACGCAGGGCUGGCCAUUAUCUGGGGGCUGGAAUUGGUAAGAGGAAAUCUAGGAUUGAGGCAUAGCUGUCAAAUGCUUGGGUUCUAGGAUUUAUUUUAACUUUUCACUAUGAGACUAUUUAAAUGUUUACAAAAGUACAGCAAACAAAAGUGACCUUCUGCAGUCACCACCCAGCUUCAACAACUGGAUCUAUCUGCCAAUCUUAUUCAUAUUUUUUUCUGACACUUUUUUUUAUUAUUUUAAAGCAAAUCCUGGAUAUAUAUUUCUUCUGGAAAUAUUUUCACAGAGUGUUUUCAUUAUUGUUGUUAUUUUAUUCAUUGGUGGUUGAUAUUAAAUACAAUGCCACCAACGCACGUAAAAAUUUUAAUGAUAAUGCCUUACUAUUUCAUAAUAACUUAAUCAAUAGCCAAAUUUGCCUGAUUGUCUCAAAAAUGUUUCUUAAGUUUGUUUAACUCAGGAUUCAAUCAAGCCUGAAAUGUUGCUUUUAGUUGUCUUUUGAGCCUCUCUUCAUUUCUAGGAAACUUCUUUUCCCUUUAAGUCAUAUAUUUG
rnacentral:lncRNA from 1 species